rnacentral:sRNA from 1 species
UCAGCUAUGGUAUUAUUGAAAAUGUAGAAAAGUUUAAGACGGUGGCUAUCUCUUAUUAAAAUGGGGUGAUGCCGAUGUUUUUGUUUCGGGCUUUCCCCAGAAAGGAAAACCCAUGAGUAUCUUCGAAGCCUUGAUGUUUGCACUAGCUUUUGCAACAUUGGUUUUAAAAAUCUCAUCUAAUGACAAAAA